rnacentral:lncRNA from 10 species
GUAGGCACAUAUCGACCUGAAAUACAAAGAAGUGCUCAGAACGUGCCAAUGUGUGCAUGGGAUGGGGAUCGGGGCUGGAAGGGAAAUAGAAACCGGAUGGAAAUGAAAGACUCUUUCUAAUUAGAAUGUUUCCCAAGCUUUCCCAUCUGGUUCUUCCAGAAAUAAUCAUCACAAGGGGAAAUAUCUGACACAGUGUCAUCUCCUGAAGAAAUGAACUGGGCUUGCUUUUCAGGGAGAGGCAAAAAAUGGUCACCAGGGACUCAGUUUGGAAAAAGCACGAGUUUAAGAGGUUGAGGGGAUGACGGGCCCUGGUUCCUGGAGAGGAGGUGAAAAUGUUUUCUUCUUUUCUUCCCCUCUCCAAAUCUCAGGUCUUUAUCUCUAAAAUACAGUUAUCUCCUAAAUAUACUAAUUAG